AUUGAACGCUGGCGGCAGGCCUAACACAUGCAAGUCGAGCGGCAGCGGGAAAGUAGCUUGCUACUUUUGCCGGCGAGCGGCGGACGGGUGAGUAAUGCCUGGGGAUCUGCCCAGUCGAGGGGGAUAAAUACUGGAAACGGUAGCUAAUACCGCAUCAGCCCUACGGGGGACAGCAGGGGACCUUCGGGCCUUGCGCGAUUGGGUGAACCCAGGUGGGAUUAGCUAGUUGGUGAGGUAAUGGCUCACCAAGGCGACGAUCCCUAGCUGGUCUGGGAGGCUGAUCAGCCACACUGGAACUGAGACACGGGCCAAACGCCUAGGGUGGGAAGGAGUGGGGAAUAUUGCACAAUGGGGGAACACCUGAUGCAGCCAUGCCGCGUGUGUGAAGAAGGCCUUCGGGUUAUAAAGCACUUUCAGCGAGGAGGAAAGGUUGGUAGCUAAUAACUGCCAGCUGUGACGUUACUCGGAGAAGAAGCACCGGCUAACUCCGUGCCAGCAGCCGCCGUAAGAC
rnacentral:rRNA from 1 species